AGCGGGAGCCGGAGCCGGGCUGCGUGGCCUCUGCCCGGAUGCGGGGCACCUCUCGCAGGACCCGGCUCGGGGCGCAGGGACCUCGGAGCCGCGGGGAGGACCCAGGUGGAGGCGCACGUGCCACGGCCAGGCGCCCCCCAGAAUGCGGGCGGAGAGCUCGGGGCGCCCGAAGUCUGCAGUGCGGAGUUCCGGGAACCAGAGCCUACCUGGGGCCCAUUCCGGAGGCCCAGGCUCUCACUGUUCCCCGGGCUGAACCUGGACUUACGGACUCAAGUAAUGGGGACUACAGAGUCUCCCUCUGCAGUUCAGGCUGGCCUUGCACUCACAGUGAUCCUCCUGCCUCAGGCUUCCAAGUGCUGGGAUUACUGGUUUGUGCCAUCAUGCUCGGCUGUCAAUAUAAUUUGUAGAAAGUUCUUUUGGUAAUCUCAACAUAUAUAUAUAUAUAUAUUUUUGGUACCAGGGAUCGAACUCAGGACCUUGCGCUUGUGAGGCAGGUGCAGCACCACUGAGCUGAAUCCCUGGCCCAGUCUCAACGUAUUCUAAGGUAAAAAUAAUUGUUAUGCAUAACACAAAUUUAUAUGUAAUAGAAAGAAGCAAUGUGAUAUAUCUAUUAAUAGUAUGUAUUCACCAAGUAUUUCCAGUUUUCAUCCCUUUGGUCAUGAGAUUAAGACUGCACUUCCUGCCUGCUGUGGCUGGGGACAGCCGUGUGACUAGUUCUGGCUACUGACAGGUAGGAAUGAAAUUCUUUUCUUUCUUUCUUUAUUGCAGUCCUGGGGAUUGAACCAAGGGCCUUUGCACUAAGCUACAUUCCCGGCCCUUUUUUAUUUUGAGACAGGAUCUCACUAAGUCACUAAAUUGCUCAGACCAGGCUCGAAUUUGAGACCCUUCUGCCUCAGCUUCCAGAGUGCUGGGAUCACAGGUGUGCACCCCCAUGCCCGGCUGUCUUCUGGCUUUUUGUGAGAUAUAGUGUUUUUGGGAAACUGAGAUUAAAAAUUAAAAUUCUUGCUCCACAGAAAUGUUAGAGGUUAAAAGAAAAAAAAAAUAACCAAACCAAACAAAAAAGGGGCCUGUGUUCGAUCCCCAGAACCCCCAACCCAAAAAACCCCCCAAAAGAUAAGUUAUUGGGCAGGGUAGCACAUACCUAUAAUUCUAGCACUCCGUAGGGACUAGGUACGUAGCUCAGUGGUAGAGCACUUUCCUAGAACGUGUGAGGCCCUGUGUUUGAUCCCAAUACUGGAUGAGAGAGAGAGAACAGAAAGCGUAGAUGGUAACCCUGGAGUUGUGGAAAGAGCCUCAUUCUCCCCUGUGGACUAAAACUAACCAUGCCCUUGCCUCCAACCUCACGGUCUCCAGGCUUUCAGGGGACUGCAGAGAGAAACACAUUCUUACUUAAAACUACUAAUGACAAAUUUACCAAUAAAACAUCGUCAUAGAUGGCCUGGUGGUACAGGCCUGACUGAGAGAGGGCGAUCGUGAGUUCAAUCCCAGGCUGGGCGGUUUAGGGAUGUAGUGAGAACCUGUCUCACAAGGAAGAAGUAAUUUAAUAAGGGCUGGUGAUGUAGCUCAGGGUGAAGAUCCCCAGUUCAAUCCCCAGUUCCAAACAAAUCAACCAACCUACCAACCAACCAACCAAACAAACAAAAACUCCUAGAAAAUCUAUAAUUACAUAGUAGAUUGCAUUCUCAAGAUAUUUUCCUUGGAAAAAAAGUGAAAAUAGAAGGAAAGAAUGGAAACUAAAUAAGACUAAACAUCGAUAUGAUAUUGGCACUAAAAAAAAAAAAAGAUAUUUCCCUUGAGCCUGGUGAGGUGAUGCAUGCACUGAGGAGGCUGAGGCAGAAGGAUCGUGAGUUUGAGGCUAGUCUGAGCUAAACAGACAGAACUUGUCUCAAACAAACAAACAAUCCCCCCCCCCAAAACAACUCCCAAAAACCAUUGAGCUGGGUGUGGUGGCACUGCCUCUAAUUCUGGCACUUGGUAGGCUGAGGCAGGAGGAUUGCUGUGAGUUCCAGGCCUGGGUCACACACAGAGUUUCAAGGCCAGCCUAAACUACAUAGAGAGACCCUGUCUCAACAAAACAAAACCCAAAAAAGAAAAAAGAAACACACGCACACACGCCCCAAAUAAAGUUCCCUUGACAUACCCAUUUAAUUAAUUUAUUUUAUUUCAUUUAUUUAUUUAUUUUUGGUACUGGGGUUCGAACUUGGGUCCUUGCACUUGCGCAGCAGGUGGCAAAACCACUGAGCUAAAUCCCCGGCCCAUAAUUAAUCAAUAGCAAAACAUUUAUUGGUAAAUUUUAGGCAUACAUAAUGAUAACACGCAUCGCAGGGAGUGUUGCUGUAGGGGCAGACUACAGUCUACAGCGUGGCAGCUCUUAGUGGUGCAGCAAGACCAGGCUGGAAGAAUCCAGAACGCACCGAGGGUGGGCCAAGUGUACAGCUUUCUUACCCGGCUGGCUGCUCAGGGAUUUCUGCACAAAGCGAUCCUCCUGGAGCUGGCAGAGAGCAGGGUUUAUAGGGGUUAAGGGAGGGGAGGUGGGGAUACAGAGCAGGCAUGUAUCCUCAGCUCCAGGCACUUAGGAAGUUCCAUUUAGUUUACGUGAUCGUGAUGGGAUAGAAAAGCGCCCAGAUACAGACUCCUCCUGAGGACGAAGGACAGUGAAGGAGGGUGUGCGCUGGGCGUGGUGGGGUUUGAGCUGGGCUGGCUCUUCCUCAGUCAGGUCAGUGCGGCGCUCGAAAAAGAAAACCGUUCUGCUAUCAUCCAUUUAAUUUAAUUAAAAAUUGUUGUGGUAUCUGGGAGUUAAACUCAGAGCUUUCUUACCGAACUAUGUCCCCAGCCCCCCCCCCUUUGGUACUGGGGAUGGAACUCGGGACCUUGUGUUUGCGAGGCAGGUGGCACCACUGAGCUAGAUCCCUGGCCCCUCCAGCCCUUUAUAAUUUUUAGACAGGGUCUUGCUAAAUCUUAAAUUGCCCAGGCUGGGUUUGAACUUGGGAUCCUCUUGUCUCUGGCUCCCGGAAUGCUUGGAUUAUAGGCAUGUAUCAUUAUGCCUGGUCCAUUAAAAAUUUGUUAUUUAUUUAGUUAUUUUUAUUUUUUCUGAUACCAGGGAUUGAACUUGGGACCUUGGGCUUGUGAGGCAGGCGGUGGAGCCACUGAGCUAAAUCCCCAGCCCUACUUAUUUUUUUGUAUGGGGGAUCAAACUCAGGACCUUGGGCUUGCAAGGCAGGAGCGGUGCCACUGAGCUAAAUCCCCAGCCCUACUUAUUUUUUUGUAUGGGGGAUCAAACUCAGGACCUUGGGCUUGCAAGGCAGGAGCGGUGCCACUGAGCUAAAUCCCCAG
rnacentral:lncRNA from 1 species